CUCGGGCGAUCCACAGGUCGUUACAUUUUCCUGAAUCAUUGGUUUAAUUGCACAUUUAUAUCUCCCUCACAAUAAGUGAUUUAUGAUAACUCCAUCCAUUAAUCUCAAGGUACACUAUUUGCUACUUAUUUCAAGCAAAAGAAUCUAUUUACCAACAAUUCUUCUAAAUAA